rnacentral:rRNA from 1 species
GACGAACGCUGGCGGCGUGCUUAACACAUGCAAGUCGAACGAAGUGGCGAACGGGUGAGUAACGCGUAAUCAAUCUGCCCUUCAGAGGGGGACAACAGUUGGAAACGACUGCUAAUACCGCAUACUGAAGGUGGGGAUUCCGUCUGAUUAGCUAGUUGGUGGGGUAACGGCCCACCAAGGCGAUGAUCAGUAGCCGGGCGGAGAGGAUGAACGGCCACAUUGGGACUGGGACACGGCCCAGACUCCUACGGGAGGCAGCAGGGAGGAAACUUCCGCAAUGGACGAAAGUCUGACGGGGCAACGCCGCGGGAGGGAUGACGGCCUUCGGGUUGUAAAGCGCUGUUAAUCGGGACGCGGUACCGGAAUAGAAAGCCACGGCUAACUACGUGCCAGCCGCCGCGGUAAUAC